AUACCCACAUUAUGGACUAUUCAUCCCCACUCCCUCCCUCAUAAAUAAUCUCCUCCUAUUUUUUUUUUAAUUAUGAACUUCGUUCAAUGCGUGGGCUUAAAAUUUAUGCAAUUUCACAUUUUCAGUUCAAGGUAUCCGUAGUGAUUCUACAUUCGUGCACUGCGAAGUUCAAUUUUGAAGUAAAAUUUAAAUUGCUAAAAGUUCGUCGACGACAACAUUGUUAAACCAUGGUUAUGGAUUCAAAAUAAUCGAUUCAUAAUUUCAUCCAGAAAAGCAUUUUUCACAAGGAGGAUCUGUGAGAGAAUUCUUCUAAUGUGAUCGACAAAGGGAGUAUAUAUUAAGUAGUAAGUUUACAGUAACCAGCGUGUCAGUUGUGUACCUGAUAUUGGAAGCAAAAGAAAGGGAGAUCAGCAGAAAUUCAAUAGCAUACAACAAUAGCGACACCCAGUAACCAGCAACAACCAGCAAUGAGAAACCAGUGACGGAUUUUAAAACUCAAGAUAAAAAUCCAGAAACACCAACAACAAUCAACGGAUCGAAGCAAAGGGAAUUUUUUCAGAUU